rnacentral:rRNA from 1 species
ACGCUGGCGGCGUGCCUAAUACAUGCAAGUAGAACGCUGAAGAGAGGAGCUUGCUCUUCUUGGAUGAGUUGCGAACGGGUGAGUAACGCGUAGGUAACCUGCCUUGUAGCGGGGGAUGACUAUUGGAAACGAUAGCUAAUACCGCAUAACAAUAGGUGACACAUGUCAUUUAUUUGAAAGGGGCAAUUGCUCCACUACAAGAUGGACCUGCGUUGUAUUAGCUAGUAGGUGAGGUAACGGCUCACCUAGGCGACGAUACAUAGCCGACCUGAGAGGGUGAUCGGCCACACUGGGACUGAGACACGGGCCAGACUCCUACGGGAGGCAGCAGUAGGGAAUCUUCGGCAAUGGGGGCAACCCUGACCGAGCAACGCCGCGUGAGUGAAGAAGGUUUUCGGAUCGUAAAGCUCUGUUGUAAGUCAAGAACGAGUGUGAGAGUGGAAAGUUCACACUGUGACGGUAGCUUACCAGAAAGGGACGGCUAACUACGUGCCAGCAGCCGCGGUAAUACGUAGGUCCCGAGCGUUGUCCGGAUUCAUUGGGCGUAAAGCGAGCGCAGGCGGUUUGAUAAGUCUGAAGUUAAAGGCUGUGGCUCAACCAUAGUUCGCUUUGGAAACUGUCAAACUUGAGUGCAGAAGGGGAGAGUGGAAUUCCAUGUGUAGCGGUGAAAUGCGUAGAUAUAUGGAGGAACACCGGUGGCGAAAGCGGCUCUCUGGUCUGUAACUGACGCUGAGGCUCGAAAGCGUGGGGAGCGAACAGGAUUAGAUACCCUGGUAGUCCACGCCGUAAACGAUGAGUGCUAGGUGUUGGAUCCUUUCCGGGAUUCAGUGCCGCAGCUAACGCAUUAAGCACUCCGCCUGGGGAGUACGACCGCAAGGUUGAAACUCAAAGGAAUUGACGGGGGCCCGCACAA